rnacentral:rRNA from 1 species
CCUACGGGAGGCUGCAGUGAGGAAUAUUGGUCAAUGGGCGCUAGCCUGAACCAGCCAAGUAGCGUGAAGGAUGACUGCCCUAUGGGUUGUAAACUUCUUUUAUAUGGGAAUAAAGUGCAGUAUGUAUACUGCUUUGCAUGUACCUUAUGAAUAAGGAUCGGCUAACUCCGUGCCAGCAGCCGCGGUAAUACGGAGGAUCCGAGCGUUAUCCGGAUUUAUUGGGUUUAAAGGGAGCGUAGGCGGGUUGUUAAGUCAGUUGUGAAAGUUUGCGGCUCAACCGUAAAAUUGCAGUUGAUACUGGCAGCCUUGAGUACAGUAGAGGUAGGCGGAAUUCGUGGUGUAGCGGUGAAAUGCUUAGAUAUCACGAAGAACUCCGAUUGCGAAGGCAGCCUGCUGGACUGUAACUGACGCUGAUGCUCGAAAGUGUGGUUAUCAAACAGGAUUAGAUACCCCUGUAGUC